CCAUGAGUACAGUGGCGACCGGGUGAGUAACACGUGACUACCUACCCUUGAGUGGGGGAUAACCUCGGGAAACCGAGGCUAAUACCGCAUAAUAUCGAGAGAUCAAAGGAGCAAUUCGCUUUUGGAGGGAGUCGCGGCUGAUUAGUUAGUUGGCGGGGUAAUGGCCCACCAAGGCGAAGAUCGGUAUCCGGCCUGAGAGGGCGCACGGACACACUGGAACUGAAACACGGUCCAG
rnacentral:rRNA from 1 species